AGAGGUUACUGCUAUCGGUGUUCGCCUAAGCCAUGCGAGUCAUAUGUUCUUCGUGAACAUGGCGUACUGCUCAGUAACACGUGGAUAACCUGCCCUUGGGUCCGGCAUAACCCCGGGAACUGGGGACAAUUCCGGAUACCGCAUAUGUGCUGGAAUGCUUUAUGCGUGAAAUGGAUUCGUCUGCCCAAGGAUGGGUCUGCGGCCUAUCAGGUAGUAGUGGG
rnacentral:rRNA from 1 species